UACGUAGGGGGCUAGCGUUGUCCGGAAUCAUUGGGCGUAAAGAGCGUGUAGGCGGCCCGGUAAGUCCGCUGUAAAAGUCAAAGGCUCAACCUUUGAAUGUCAGUGGAUACUGCCGGGCUAGAGUCCGGAAGAGGCGAGUGGAACUCCUGGUGUAGCGGUGGAAUGCGCAGAUAUCAGGAGGAACACCGGUGGCGAAGGCGGGUCUCUGGGCCGAUAUUGACGCUGAGGAGCGAAAGCGUGGGGAGCGAACAGG
rnacentral:rRNA from 1 species